UAGAGCAAGACAUGCUGCCUGUCCAGUAUUAGUAGGCAAUAAAUGGGUAUCGAACAAAUGGAUACAUGAACGAGGUCAAGAAUUCAGACGGCCCUGUGCAAUGUCCGAGAUGGAAUGAUAUCUUCCUUUCUUCUUUUAUUUCCUGUUUAGUGUCAGGGUGUCUGUUUGGUCAGUAUUGGAUGUGUGUCUGUACAAGGAGUGAAUAACUAUGCAUCAGUCUGUGCAGUUUUUCUAUUGUUGUGCCCUUCUACCCAAAUAUUGAAAUGUUGUGAGGUUUCUGGGCAGCACAUGCUGUGACUGUAAGCACCGUGAAUAUGCAGAGAUCCAAUCAAAUGAUUUAUUUUAGUUAUUUAUUUAGGAUUGAUUUUUAACUCCAUGUUUCUUGUGCACUUUCUGUCUAGUCUUAAACUCCAACAGACCUCUAUUUAAAAAAAAUAAAGUUACUUAAGUCUUUAAUUUAAACCACUGAACACUCCAUAAACAUUAAUGCAAUUGUUACAGGGAACAUAGCAAACUGAAAGACCAACCUUUUGAGACCAAAAGAUCUGUUACAAAAAUAUGUUAUGAAUCCCUGAAACACAUACAGAAGUACCAAAGAGUAUUUUCUUCAAUCCUGAGGCCAAUGCAAACAACUUUAAGUUGUAUUUGUUCUCUCCUUCUCUUUUUUUUGUGCGUAUGGACGUGUGAUAGUUUUCUACAGAAAUAAAUUCUAUGCUUCGA